UACGGGGGGGGCAAGCGUUGUUCGGAAUUACUGGGCGUAAAGGGCUCGUAGGUGGCCAACUAAGUCGGACGUGAAAUCCCCAGGCUCAACUUGGGAACUGCGUCUGAUACUGGAUGGCUUGAAUUCGGGAGAGGGAUGCAGAAUUCCAGGUGUAGCGGUGAAAUGCGUAGAUAUCUGGAGGAAUACCGGUGGCGAAGGCGGCAUCCUGGACCGAGAUUGACACUGAUGAGCGAAAGCUAGGGGAGCAAACGGG
rnacentral:rRNA from 1 species